CUACGGGAGGCUCCAGUGAGGAAUAUUGCGCAAUGGGGGCAACCCUGACGCAGCGACGCCGCGUGAGUGAGGAAGGCCCUCGGGUCGUAAAGCUCUGUCAAGAGGAAAGAAGUGCAUAGUAGUUAAUACCUGCUAUGUUUGACGGUACCUCUAAAGGAAGCACCGGCUAACUCCGUGCCAGCAGCCGCGGUAAUACGGAGGGUGCAAGCGUUGUUCGGAAUCGCUGGGCGUAAAGGGCGCGCAGGCGGCCUGGUAAGUCAGAUGGGAAAGCCCACGGCUUAACCGUGGAAGUGCAUUUGAAACUGUCAGGCUUGAGUACCAGAGGGGAAAGUGGAAUUCCCGGUGUAGAGGUGAAAUUCGUAGAUAUCGGGAGGAAUACCGGUGGCGAAGGCGACUUUCUGGCUGAGUACUGACGCUGAGGCGCGAAAGCGUGGGGAGCAAACAGGAUUAGAUACCCUUGUAGUC
rnacentral:rRNA from 1 species